rnacentral:rRNA from 1 species
CACGUAGGGCGCGAGCGUUGUCCGGAAUUAUUGGGCGUAAAGAGCUCGUAGGCGGUGUGUCACGUCGGCCGUGAAAACCUGGGGCUUAACUCUGGGCGUGCGGUCGAUACGGGCAUCACUAGAGUUCGGCAGGGGAGACUGGAAUUCCUGGUGUAGCGGUGAAAUGCGUAGAUAUCGGGAGGAACACCAGUGGCGAAGGCGGCCUUCUGGACCAGUACUGACGCUCAUGCACGAAAGCGUGGGGAGCAAACAGG